rnacentral:rRNA from 1 species
CACGUAGUUAGCCGGGGCUUCUUCUUCAGGUACCGUCAUUUUCUUCCCUGCUGACAGGGCUUUACGCGCCGAGGCGCUUCUUCACCCACGCGGCGUCGCUGCAUCAGGGUUCCCCCCAUUGUGCAAUAUCCCCCACUGCUGCCUCCCGUAGGAGUCUGGGCCGUGUCUCAGUCCCAGUGUGGCCGUCCGCCCUCUCAGGCCGGCUACUGAUCGUCGCUUUGGUAGGCCGUUACCCUGCCAACUGGCUAAUCAGACGCGGGCCCAUCCUGUACCACCGGAGUUUUCAGGGAAAAGCCAUGCGGCUUCCCCCGUUAUGCGGUAUUAGCACCUAUUUCUAAGUGUUAUCCCCCUGUACAGGCCAGGUUGCCCACGCGUUACUCACCCGUCCGCCACUCAUGCACAGGUUUUCCGGCCGAAGCCUUCCUUCCCGUACACCCGUUCGACUUGCAUGUGUUAGGCACGCCGCCAGCGUUCAUCCUGAGCCAGGAUCAAACUCU